rnacentral:sRNA from 1 species
GUUGGGCAUGGUGGCACAUGUCUGUAAUCCCAGCAGCUCAGGAGGCUGAGGCAGGAGGAUGGCAACUUCAAAGCCAUCCUCAGUAAAAGCAAGGUGCUAAGCAACUCAGUGAGACCCUGUCUCUA